AUUCCCAUAGUUCAACGGAUAGAACGAUAGUUUCCUAAACUGUAAAUAUGAGUUCGAUUCUCAUUGGGAAUA
rnacentral:tRNA from 1 species